rnacentral:rRNA from 1 species
ACGAGGGUGAUGACGCUGAGCACGAAGCGUGGGGAUCAAACAGGAUUAGAUACCCUGGUAGUCCACGCAGUAACGAUGAUAACUAACCCGCUGGGCAUUCGUGUUCAGUGGCCAAGCGAAAGCGAUAAGUUAUCCACCUGGGGAGUACGACCGCAAGGUUGAAACUCAAAGGAAUUGACGGGGGCCCGCACAAGCGGAGGAACAUGUGGUUUAAUUCGAUGAUACGCGAGGAACCUUACCCGGGCUCGAACGGCAGAGGAACAAUCCAGAGAUGGUGCGGCCCUUCGGGGCUUCUGUCGAGGUGCUGCAUGGUUGUCGUCAGCUCGUGCCGUGAGGUGUCGGCUCAAGUGCCAUAACGAGCGCAACCCUUGCCGUCAGUUACCAGCACGUCGUGGUGGGGACUCUGGCGGGACUGCCACCGCAAGGUGAGAGGAAGGGGGGGAUGACGUCAAAUCAGCACGGCCCUUACGUCCGGGGCGACACACGUGUUACAAUGGUGACUACAGAGGGAAUCUACCUGGCGACAGGAUGGUAAUCUCGAAAAGUCAUCUCAGUCCGGAUCGGAGUCUGCAACUCGACUCCGUGAAGCUGGAUUCGCUAGUAAUCGCGCAUCAGCCAUGGCGCGGUGAAUACGUUCCCGGGCCUUGUACACACCGCCCGUCAAGCCAUGAAAGUCUGGGGCGCCUGAAGUCCGUUACCGCAAGGAUCGGCCUAGGGCGAAACUGGUAAUUGGGGCUAAGUCGUAACAAGGUAGCCGUA